rnacentral:rRNA from 1 species
GACGAACCGUGCAAACGUUGUUCGGAAUCACUGGGCUUAAAGGGCGCGUAGGCGGGCUGUCAAGUCAGGGGUGAAAUCUUUCGGCUCAACCGGAAAACUGCCUUUGAUACUGACAGCCUCGAGGGAGGUAGGGGCAUGUGGAACUUCCGGUGGAGCGGUGAAAUGCGUUGAUAUCGGAAAGAACACCAACGGCGAAAGCACUCUGUUGGGCCGACACUGACACUAAGAGACGAAAGCUAGGGGAGCAAAUGGG